rnacentral:rRNA from 1 species
AGAGUUUGAUCCUGGCUCAGGAUGAACGCUAGCUACAGGCUUAACACAUGCAAGUCGAGGGGCAGCGAGAGUGUAGCAAUACACUUGUCGGCGACCGGCGCACGGGUGAGUAACGCGUAUCCAACCUGGCCCUUAGUAGGGGAUAGCCCGGCGAAAGUCGGAUUAAUACCCUAUGUUUUCCCAUGAGAGCAUUUGAAAGGGAGCAAAGAUUUAUCGCUAGGGGAUGGGGAUGCGUCCGAUUAGGCAGCAGGCGGGGUGACGGCCCACCUGGCCGACGAUCGGUAGGGGUUCUGAGAGGAAGGUCCCCCACACUGGUACUGAGACACGGACCAGACUCCUACGGGAGGCAGCAGUGAGGAAUAUUGGUCAAUGGGCGCGAGCCUGAACCAGCCAAGUAGCGUGAGGGACGACGGCCCUACGGGUUGUAAACCUCUUUUGCCGGGGAAUAAAGUGCGCCACGCGUGGUGUUUUGUAUGUACCCGGAGAAUAAGGACCGGUAAUUCCGUGCCAGCAGCCGCGGUAAUACGGAAGGUCCGGGCGUUAUCCGGAUUUAUUGGGUUUAAAGGGAGCGCAGGCCGGAGAUUAAGCGUGACGUGAAAUGCCGCGGCUCAACCGUGGAAGUGCGUCGCGAACUGGUUUCCUUGAGUGAGUGCGACGUUGGCGGAAUUCGUGGUGUAGCGGUGAAAUGCUUAGAUAUCACGAAGAACCCCGAUUGCGAAGGCAGCCAACGAGUCCUUAACUGACGCUAAUGCUCGAAGGUGCGGGUAUCGAACAGGAUUAGAUACCCUGGUAGUCCGCACGGUAAACGAUGGAUGCCCGCUGUAUGCGAUACACUGUAUGCGGCCAAGCGAAAGCGUUAAGCAUCCCAC